UACGUAGGGGGCAAGCGUUGUCCGGAUUUAUUGGGCGUAAAGAGCGUGUAGGCGCCAGACAGGUCCGUUGUGAAAACUCGAGGCUCAACCUCGAGACGCCGAUGGAAACCGUCUGGCUAGAGUCCGGAAGAGGAGAGUGGAAUUCCUGGUGUAGCGGUGAAAUGACGCAGAUAUCAGGAAGAACACCCCGUGGCUAAGGCGGCUCUCUAGUACGGUACUGACGCUGAGACGCGAAAAGCGUGGGGGAGCGAACAGG
rnacentral:rRNA from 1 species